AACGAACGCUGGCGGCAUGCCUAACACAUGCAAGUCGAACGAGACCUUCGGGUAUAGUGGCGCACGGGUGCGUAACGCGUGGGAACCUGCCCUUAGGUUCGGAAUAACUCCCCGAAUGGGGUGAUAAUACCGGAUAAUGUCUUCGGACCAAAGAUUUAUCGCCUUUGGAUGGGCCCGCGUUGGAUUAGCUAGUUGGUAGGGUAAAAGCCUACCAAGGCGACGAUCCAUAGCUGGUCUGAGAGGAUGAUCAGCCACACUGGGACUGAGACACGGCCCAGACUCCUACGGGAGGCAGCAGUGGGGAAUAUUGGACAAUGGGUGAAAGCCUGAUCCAGCAAUGCCGCGUGAGUGAUGAAGGCCUUAGGGUUGUAAAGCUCUUUUACCCGGGAUGAUAAUGACAGUACCGGGAGAAUAAGCUCCGGCUAACUCCGUG
rnacentral:rRNA from 1 species